rnacentral:tRNA from 1 species
UGGGGUAUCGGCCAAGCGGUAAGGCACCGGAUUCUUGAUUCCGGCAUUCCGAGGUUCGAAUCCUCGUACCCCAGCCA